rnacentral:rRNA from 1 species
UAUGAAGGGGGCUAGCGUUGUUCGGAAUUACUGGGCGUAGAGCGUACGUAGGCUGAUUGUUAAGUCAGGGGUGAAAUCCCGGAGCUCAACUCCGGAACUGCCUUUGAUACUGGCAAUCUCGAGUCCGGAAGAGGUUAGUGGAAUUCCCAGUGUAGAGGUGAAAUUCGUAGAUAUUGGGAAGAACAUUAGUGGCGAAGGCGGCUAACUGGUCCGGUACUGACGCUGAGGUGCGAAAGCGUGGGGAGCAAACAGG